rnacentral:lncRNA from 1 species
CCACGAAAGCAGGAUCCCACCCUGCCUGGACUACGCGAACUUUUAGGGGCAGCCAAAGAUUAUCUGUGGUGACGCGGAUCCAGGGCAGUUUUUGGAAUCGUGACGACCUCAACUCCUCCCUCGCUCGGUCCCCAGGUCCUGAGCUGCAGACCGGUCCUCGCCAGCCUCUGCCCCCACCUCAACCCCGCCCUCCUGCCGGCUCAGCUCGGCCUCCUUUCACACCUGAUUCCAGUUCAGGUCCCGCUCGCGCGCCGUGGGAAAGACAACCUCAAGGUCCCGGCUGAGGUUGGACCCUUGCGGGGGGCGAAGCCGAGGGAGCACGCGAGGGAGGGUGGGCAGCUCCUCACACCGGGGGUGGUUUGCGAUUCCGGACAGACAGACCGACGUCCCAGACCAGCGCGGGCGGGAGGGCUGGAGGAGGUGGAGCCGCCGGGGAGGGGCGGUGCCGCGGGGAGCGGAGCCCGGCCUCCCGCCCCCACCCCCUUCGGUGCCUUAGUCUGGGCGGUGACACAAAAAGCUCCCGCUCGGAGCCGAGCGCCUGGCGGCGGUGUCCGACCGGGAGCGCGGAGGGCGGCCGGGCAGGUGGGGCGCGUCCCGAAGGGCCGAGCCGGGAGCUGGGGCUGCAGGCGCCGAAGGCGCGCUCCCGGCGCCCGCCCCGCAGCCCGCGGCGCGUGUCUGGCUGAGCGGGGGGCGGGCGCGCCGGGACCACCCCGAGAUGCUGCCGCCGCAGCUGCCGCCGCCUCUGUAGGGAGCACCCGAGCCCGCUGCGGAGAGAGGCUGAACAGAGCUCACGCUCAAUUGUGCAUCCUGCUUGCCCGCCUCUUGCCUCCCAGACACGUACCAUUUCCACUUGAUGUCAUCACGCAGAAGGGGGUGAAAGGGACUCGGUGACAGAUUCAGAUAUGAACACACUUAAGAGUGCUAGAUGCUUCUGAGCUCCCCUAUCACCUCACAACUUUGGAAAGACUCGAAGAAGGAAGGUGCCGGAGUGGAGGACUCUGAGAACAAUCUCCUUCCCCUUGGCCUUGAC